rnacentral:tRNA from 5 species
GGGGGCGUAGUUCAAUGGCAGAAUUGGGCUCUCCAAAAGCUUAGAUGGGGGUUCGACUCCCUCCGCCCCUG